UACGUAGGUGGCAAGCGUUGUCCGGAAUUAUUGGGCGUAAAGCGCGCGCAGGGGGUUUCUUAAGUCUGAUGUGAAAGCCCUCGGCUUAACCGAGGAGGGUCAUUGGAAACUGGGAGACUUGAGUGCAGAAGAGGAAAGUGGAAUUCCAAGUGUAGCGGUGAAAUGCGUAGAGAUUUGGAGGAACACCAGUGGCGAAGGCGACUUUCUGGUCUGUAACUGACGCUGAGGCGCGAAAGCGUGGGGAGCAAACAGG
rnacentral:rRNA from 1 species